GUGAGAGCGAGCGGCCACGGCGACUCGGGAAUUAACAUGCGAACCGCGGAGGCCAAUGACAUCGAGUAACACCGAGUGACGUUUAGGUCAUUGACGAUGCCGAUCCCUUCCACGGCGUACGCACACAUUAUGUAUCUUGAUCUUUCCGACUGCCUGGCUACAUCAAUAAAUCACGGAAUCGGCUUCUCUCGUAAAAGACGCAGAUUGCCAGGCUACACGUAGAAGACUGUGAUCUUAUAUGAAGAUCUUUGUAUUUAUUUAUCCAAAACAUAAUUGUGGAUUUUCAGAACUUUUGGAAUUUAUAUUCUAUAGUAACAUAACGAAGCACAUCACAGAAAUCUGCAACCAUUUUUUUAUUAAUACGUUAAAAAAGAAAAAUAUUAGGAAAACCAUUAAAAAUCCUGAAGACCGUGAACGGAGAUAUAUGCAUGAUUGUGAGACUGUGAGAGAUCUCUUCGACCACGUGACGCACUUGACACACUUCUGAUAGCGGUACUGUUAUUGCGUAGGCGAAUACGCGAUCGAGUGAUUUUUCUGUAUAAGCCAGACAUUGAAAGAUUGGAAAGACGAGAUCUUUCUUCGGCCGAAUUUAAGAAAAAAGACCAUAAAUAAAUCAAGAAGCAACGGAGAAA